rnacentral:rRNA from 1 species
UACGUAGGGCGCAAGCGUUGUCCGGAAUUAUUGGGCGUAAAGAGCUCGUAGGCGGUUUGUCGCGUCUGCUGUGAAAACUCGAGGCUCAACCUCGGGCUUGCAGUGGGUACGGGCAGACUAGAGUGCGGUAGGGGUGACUGGAAUUCCUGGUGUAGCGGUGGAAUGCGCAGAUAUCAGGAGGAACACCGGUGGCGAAGGCGGGUCUCUGGGCCGAUACUGACGCUGAGGAGCGAAAGCGUGGGGAGCGAACAGG